CCUACGGGAGGCAGCAGUGAGGAAUAUUGGUCAAUGGACGGAAGUCUGAACCAGCCAUGCCGCGUGCAGGAAGACGGCUCUAUGAGUUGUAAACUGCUUUUGUACAAGGGUAAACCUGAAUACGUGUAUUCAGCUGAAAGUACUGUACGAAUAAGGAUCGGCUAACUCCGUGCCAGCAGCCGCGGUAAUACGGAGGAUCCAAGCGUUAUCCGGAUUUAUUGGGUUUAAAGGGUGCGUAGGCGGAUUGAUAAGUGAGAGGUGAAAGGCCCGAGCUUAACUCGGGAACUGCCUCUAAUACUGUUGAUCUAGAGAGUAGAUGCGGUAGGCGGAAUGUAUGGUGUAGCGGUGAAAUGCUUAGAGAUCAUACAGAACACCGAUUGCGAAGGCAGCUUACCAAUCUAUAUCUGACGUUGAGGCACGAAAGCGUGGGGAGCAAACAGGAUUAGAUACCCUUGUAGUC
rnacentral:rRNA from 1 species